rnacentral:tRNA from 1 species
CGGGGCAUAGCGCAGUCUGGUAGCGCAUCUGGUUUGGGACCAGAGGGUCGCAAGUUCGAAUCUUGCUGUAUUAA